CUUCAAGGCAAGUUUAUUGAAGUACACCUGUGUCAGACUCUUUCCAUAUGCUACGUGGAGUUGCACCCUUUGUAUGCCCAGGUUUUCUUGAUGUUUGGAAACUUGAAAUGUCCUCUGUGCAGAAAUGAGAGCUACUUUGCUGUUUCUGUCUCUGGAUAUCAGAGUGAGACAAGAUUUUCAGCUACACCUCCUCCAGUUCCUGAAAACAAGUUCUUGAAUGCAGAGUUUAUUUAUGAGGGAUCACUGGGCUGACCAAAACCCCAGGCCCCCAGAGUGCACUGUAUUGUACAGACACUGCUCAAGAAACCUCAGAAGGGUACAUUUCCUUACUGACCUGGGAAGGUGAAUAAAACCAAAACCAAAAAGGUUCCA
rnacentral:lncRNA from 1 species